CCUACGGGAGGCAGCAGUGGGGAAUUUUGGACAAUGGGCGCAAGCCUGAUCCAGCCAUGCCGCGUGCAGGAUGAAGGCCUUCGGGUUGUAAACUGCUUUUGUACGGAACGAAAAGACUCUGGUUAAUACCUGGGGUCCAUGACGGUACCGUAAGAAUAAGCACCGGCUAACUACGUGCCAGCAGCCGCGGUAAUACGUAGGGUGCGAGCGUUAAUCGGAAUUACUGGGCGUAAAGCGUGCGCAGGCGGUUAUAUAAGACAGAUGUGAAAUCCCCGGGCUCAACCUGGGAACUGCAUUUGUGACUGUAUAGCUAGAGUACGGCAGAGGGGGAUGGAAUUCCGCGUGUAGCAGUGAAAUGCGUAGAUAUGCGGAGGAACACCGAUGGCGAAGGCAAUCCCCUGGGCCUGUACUGACGCUCAUGCACGAAAGCGUGGGGAGCAAACAGGAUUAGAUACCCUGGUAGUCCACGCCCUAAACGAUGUCAACUGGUUGUUGGGUCUUCACUGACUCAGUAACGAAGCUAACGCGUGAAGUUGACCGCCUGGGGAGUCGGCCGCAAGGUUGAAACUUAAGGAAUUGACGGCGNGAGAGNGCGAGACGACGACGAGGAGGAGG
rnacentral:rRNA from 1 species